rnacentral:miRNA from 1 species
GACGUCGAUAUUCGACGUCAUAAACACGAUCAACUUUGGUGUUUAAGACGUCGAUAUUCGACGUCGUAAGCACGAUCAACUUUGGUGUUUAUGACGUCGAUAUUCGACGUAAGAAACACGAUUAACUUUGGUGUUGAUGGCGUCGAUAUUCGACGUCGUAAGCACGAUCAACUUUGGUGUUUAUGACGUCGAUAUUCGACGUC